rnacentral:rRNA from 1 species
UACAGAGGUGGCAAGCGUUGUUCGGAAUUACUGGGCGUAAAGGGCGCGUAGGCGGCCCUCUCAGUCAGACGUGAAAUCCCCAGGCUUAACUUGGGAACUGCGUCUGAUACUGGAGGGCUUGAGUGCGGGAGAGGGAUGUGGAAUUCCAGGUGUAGCGGUGAAAUGCGUAGAUAUCUGGAGGAACACCGGUGGCGAAGGCGGGUCUCUGGGCAGUAACUGACGCUGAGGAGCGAAAGCGUGGGGAGCGAACAGG